rnacentral:lncRNA from 1 species
GAUAGAUGAAGAGAAUGAGGCAAACUUGCUAGCGGUUCUCACAGAGACACUGGACAGUCUCCCGGUGGAUGAAGACGGAUUGCCCUCAUUUGAUGCACUGACAGAUGGAGACGUGACCACUGACAACGAGGCCAGUCCUUCCUCCAUGCCUGACGGCACCCCUCCCCCUCAGGAGGCAGAAGAGCCGUCUCUAGUAAGAACCCUUCCUACUGCUUAACUGUGGUCAGAGUUGCCUCUGGCUGCCCAAUGCAUGACUAUGGUAUAGGAACAGUCAGGUUUCGAUUGUUAAUUCUGACCAAAGUGGGGAAAAAACAUCCACAACCUUCCCUAGAUUUGCCUAUUUUGUAAUUCUCUAUUAAAAAUGUAUAUUUCUUACAUGGU